UACAGAGGUGGCAAGCGUUGUUCGGAAUCACUGGGCAUAAAGGGCGCGUAGGCGGCGAGGCAAGUCGGGUGUGAAAUCCCUCAGCUCAACUGAGGAACUGCGCCCGAAACUACCUUGCUAGAGUGCAGGAGAGGAGAGUGGAACUCCUAGUGGAGCGGUGAAAUGCGUAGAGAUUAGGAGGAACGCCGGUGGCGAAAGCGACUCUCUGGCCUGCUACUGACGCUGAGGCGCGAAAGCUAGGGGAGCAAAC
rnacentral:rRNA from 1 species